UACGAAGGGGGCUAGCGUUGCUCGGAAUCACUGGGCGUAAAGCGCACGUAGGCGGAUUGUUAAGUCAGGGGUGAAAUCCUGGAGCUCAACUCCAGAACUGCCUUUGAUACUGGCGAUCUCGAGUCCGGGAGAGGUGAGUGGAACUGCGAGUGUAGAGGUGAAAUUCGUAGAUAUUCGCAAGAACACCAGUGGCGAAGGCGGCUCACUGGCCCGGUACUGACGCUGAGGUGCGAAAGCUGGGGAGCGAACAGGA
rnacentral:rRNA from 1 species